GACGAACGCUGGCGGCGUGCUUAACACAUGCAAGUCGAACGGUGAAGCGCCUUCAUUUUUGGCUGGUGUGGGUGAGUGGCGAACGGGUGAGUAACACGUGAGUAACCUGCCCCCUUCUUCUGGAUAACCGCAUGAAAGUGAGGCUAAUACGGGAUAUUCCGGGUCUGUCGCAUGAUGGGUCUGGGGAAGAUUUUGUUUCGGAGGGGGAUGGGCUCGCGGCCUGUCAGCUUGUGGGUGGGGUGAUGGCCUACCAAGGCUGUGAAGGGUAGCCGGGCUGAGGGGGUGGACGGUCAGACAGUGAGAGAGAGACGACACUGCUUCGGACGGGAGGCAUGGGUGGGGAAGAUUGCACAAUGGGCGCAAGCCUGAGGCAGCGAGGCCGCGUGAGGGUGGAGUUCGGCGGGUUGUGAACCUCUUUCGCGAGUGAAGCAGGGCUGCCUCGUUUGUGGGUGGGUUGACGGUAGCUGGAGAAUAAGCGCCGGCUAACUACGUG
rnacentral:rRNA from 1 species